UUCUUGUUAGCUCAGUGGGUAAAGAAUCUGCCUGCAAUGCAGGAAACUCAGGUUCAAUUCCUGGGUCAGGAA
rnacentral:tRNA from 1 species